rnacentral:rRNA from 1 species
CACGUAGGGCGCAAGCGUUGUCCGGAAUUGAUUGGCGUAAAGAGCUCGUAGGCGGUCUGUUGCGUCCGCUGUGAAAACUCGGGGCUUAACCCCGAGCCUGCAGUGGAUACGGGCAGACUAGAGGUAGGUAGGGGAGAAUGGAAUUCCCGGUGUAGCGGUGAAAUGCGCAGAUAUCGGGAGGAACACCGGUGGCGAAGGCGGUUCUCUGGGCCUUACCUGACGCUGAGGAGCGAAAGCGUGGGGAGCGAACAGG